rnacentral:rRNA from 1 species
UCCGUAGGUGAACCUGCGGAAGGAUCAUUAUUGAAUAACUGAAGGGUUGUCGCUGGCUCUUCGGAGUAUGUGCACGCCUUUCAAAUUCAUCUUAACCACCUGUGCACCUUUGUAGACUAUGGCAACUCUCAGUUCUCGGACUGGAUAGAGGAACAUGCGCUUCAGCUGUUCUUCAAUGUCAUGGGCUACGUUUAUCUAUACACUAUAUAAAGUCCAGAAUGUCUGUUAUUAGGUCUUGUACCUUAUAAACUUAUACAACUUUCAACAACGGAUCUCUUGGCUCUCGCAUCGAUGAAGAACGCAGCGAAAUGCGAUAAGUAAUGUGAAUUGCAGAAUUCAGUGAAUCAUCGAAUCUUUGAACGCACCUUGCACUCCUUGGUAUUCCGAGGAGUAUGCCUGUUUGAGUGUCAUUAAAUUCUCAAAAUCUUAAAUUGUUAUCAUGACGACGCAAGAUUUUGGAUGUGGGGAUUGCAGGCUGUAAUGGUUUGCUUCUCUUAAAAGCAUUAGUGGUUACUGUUCCCCACUUUGGUGUGAUAAUUAUCUACGCCUAUAGGUGGGGAUGUUAAGUGUAACUGCUUUCAAACCGUCUAAGAUUAUUGGACAAUUUGAACCAUUUGACCUCAAAUCAGGUAGGAUUACCCGCUGAACUUAAGCGUAUCAAUAAGCGGAGGAAAAGAAACUAACAAGGAUUCCCCUAGUAACUGCGAGUGAAGCGGGAAAAGCUCAAAUUUAAAAUCUGGUGGUUCUGCCAUCCGAAUUGUAAUUUAGAGAAGUGUUAUCCGUGCUGGACCGUGUACAAGUCUCCUGGAAUGGAGCGUCAUAGAGGGUGAGAAU